rnacentral:lncRNA from 1 species
GAGCGGCGUUGGACGCGGUGGCGCCGUACAGGAGGAGCGACGGGGUUGGUCACGGGGACGGGGUCGCCGCGUUUCGCGCGCUGGAGGUGGAGGUCAAGAGACGUCCCCGCGUUUGGGACUGCGGUUGCCGUAAGUGCGCCGCGAACGGGUGGGUUUGACGGUUUUUUGGGUUUAAUAAGAGUUGCAAGCGAUUACUUCCAUCGUUCAAGUCGUCGACUAAUCGGCUCUCGUCCCGCACUCACUGGUUACGCUCGCGCAGGCGACGUUCGAAAUCCUCCGCCUCGUAGUCCGCCGCGCUCUUACCGGACGAGAACACCCCGCUUCCCUCCGUCACCGUCCGCCGCCCCGUCGCCAUCCUUCGCGCCGCGUCCAUCUUCUCCUUGAGCAACUUACCCGGCCGAGCGAUCU